rnacentral:lncRNA from 1 species
GUAUUCAAAGGAUCGGGGAAGGGCAUUGUUGGCAAAUUGGGUCUGAAACCUUUAAUGUGAGACUGAGCUUGAUCGGUGUGAAUAGCAGAAAGAAUACCACUAAGGCUGGAGCAGAAUCAGCAGGUGGGAGAGAGAGCUACUUACCAGUUUCCCUGAACCUAUGAAGAUGCCAGAGGCCGUCUCUGGAGUGAGGCCUCUCUGUUGGUUUUGAGCUGCAGCAUGCCACCCAGAGCAGCCUCUGAUCCCAGCCUCAGACCCAGGCUUCUGAAACCAGACCAGGUCAGAAGGCGACCGAGACAUGGUCUCACAUCUGGGAUAUGUGUAAGUUUCAGGACUGCAGGGAUCUACGUAAACAGGUAUUUAUAGCCUCUUCCUCCUGAAAUGAUUCAAGGUGCUGGGUCUCUUUGUUCUGCAAUUGAGUCUGGUUUCUCCAAGAAGUCCUCAAACAUCUCUCCUUAAGUUCAAAAUGUCUCCUUGAAAAUAAAACCUAACUGGUCUGAGACAUUAUUUGGGAUUUCUAGUUCAAAAUGUGAGAAAUGACUCCUACUGCCAGGAUAAAGGCACAAGUACAUUUGUCCAUCUCUGCCACCCUUUCCACCCCCAGCCCUACAUGCCCCACUCCUACCUUCAGCCGGGUCACUUGUAACCUCUGACUGGGGAGGGUCAUCUCUAUUUUCAAAAAUAUCCAGAGAAGACUCAAGAACGUUCCUUGAUAUCUCCACUCUCUCAUGCAAUGAUCCUCAACAGCAACACAAACUUCUUAUACCCCAAAACACUCAGACCACUUUUGAGAGCUCUUCCUCUCUUUCAUCUCUCCCAAUCAAUCAACGAUGGAUCAUUUGCCACCAUUCUUCUGAUAGUCACAAUUUGAUUAACUCAAAGGCGUUUUACAGUUGUGUUUAUAGUUCUGCUUCCAUGAACUCUCUCCUGCAGUUGCUUAACUAAUCUUUCCCUGCCCCAGACUUUGUCUAGUCCAGUGUAUACUGCAAAGUAUUGCCAGUCUAAUCUCUCUAUGACAGUUCUGAUCAAGCCACUCCCCAACCCAUCCCACUCCAAACACCCUACCCCCAUCAAAGGUAUAUGGCUGGUAAGUGACCUGAGCGAGAUCUCUCUAGGAGACCCACUGAUACUCAUGCCUUACGCCGAGCUCUCGGAAUUUUCCGAGCAUCUCUUUUGCUCUCUGGUGUCUCC